GACGGGAGCUCUGCUCAGGCUUCAACAUGGCGGGCCGUUUCGGUUGACUUCGCCUGUGGAAACCGAAUUCCCCCUCCAUGGUUUCCCCAGGAUAUGAGUUGGGGGCCUCACCUCGCCUAUAAGGGUCAGGCGAGCUUUCUGGAUGCUCGAGGGACCUUUCGGCCUGCGCAGCCGGAGCAGCUUGUCCCAAUGCCCUGCCAUUUCUGUGAGGGCCCACGAGGCCUGGAGGAGCCUCGGAGCCCCCGCAGGCCCUCGCGUCACUGCCUCAAGAGGGUGCUCGGAGCCCUGCUCGGGAGCUGGUCCCCAACGAGGUGUGGAACCCCUUCUUGCUGGAACUCCACGGAGAGACUGUCCUGCUAGGACCUGCUUCCAGAAGAGUUGAUCCCAGCCGUGAAAGUGCAUGAUGCCUUCAGCGAAGCAGGCAGGAAAGGCUCAAGUGAUCCUCCUGUAUCACCCUGGGUAUCAAGGCCAUUCAGUGGAAAAGAACAGUCUCUUCAGCAAGUGGAUGAAGUUAGAUCUCUUCCUCACAUCAUACAGAAAAAUCAACCUCAAAUGGAAGAAAUAUCUAAAUGAAGCCGAACACUUGAUAAAAAGUUCAUCAGCGUAAAUAAGAAGAAUCCCCUCCAUUACAUACAAAAGAAAAAAUAACUGGAGAGAUCAUCUCUGCUCUAAGGUGAUUAUCCUGUGGUCUUUGGUUUUGGUACGUUCUCCCCGACCCCAUGCCCUUUUCCCUCAUCUUUAAUGAGUAUCUGUAUGUGUGGCAGAACAGCGUGUUUUUAAGUCUCUGCAGUCUUGGACCAAGCUCGUUUUAUUCCCUACUCUACGAGAAUCUCAAGAGCACCAGGAUUCUGUUUGGAGUUGCCAUGGACACAGAGUUCUUAAUCCAGUACUGGCUUAUUCUCAAUACGAGAGAAAGUUGUACUGAAGACACGAGACCUGAGACUUGUGUCAUUUUAGCGGCUGAACCGACCCCAACUUCUUCUGAGCGGCAGUGGCGCCAGAAGCAGUCUGGCUUUCAGUCCCCAUCCUGUUGACCUGGUGGAAGUCAUCAUUGAUAGAGACACCGAUGACAUUCCCCACACAAGUGAACUGACAGGAGGAACCAAGGAAGCAUGUAUCUACGAAAGUCUUAGGCACAGGCUGUGAGCAUUGUCUUAGGAUUCAUGCCUCUUGGGGUGAAAUUUGAGUCCUGUGUUGGAGGCUUCAGUAUGACAGAAACUUCCUGAAGGCUUCAGUAAGACAAAAAAUUGUUCCUCAUCAGCUACCUUGUCUUCAGCCAUAAGGUAAAAUGAGGCAUUACUGGGGGCUCCAUCAAACAGGUUCUCCUUUCUUGGAUUAAUGGAAGGAGCCCAGUCUUUCAGGUGUUUCUCCUUUGAAGUGUAUCUUACUAAAAUGUCUUACCGCUGCAGUUCCUAUGCCACCUCAAAGGCAACUCUCACUAAUGUGUAUCUGUUCACUAGGUGUCUAGUUUGAAAGAGAUGACAAGAGCAUCAUUUACUCCCUAUGCUUAUCCCUGAAAUACCUUAUUUUAUUGCUGUUGAAACUGAGAUCUGGCCAAAGUUUGAUGACUUGCCCAGGCUGGCAUUAAAAUACAGUUCUCUUCUACCCCUCUUUUCUUUUUUCAUGCUAUAUUCCUUGAGUUGAUGACCACAAGUUUAAGCUUAGUAUUGCCAUAAAGUUGGAGUUGGGGCUUUGCAUGCAAUGGAAAUAUUACUAAACAUCCAAAGUUUACUGUCUUAUUCACAUAUAUUCUGGAUAGGAAAGUAAAAUACUCAUGGAGCAGAAAAGAUAAAA
rnacentral:lncRNA from 1 species